ensembl:processed_transcript RIKEN cDNA 1110038B12 gene
UUUUGCCCUUCGUUGCUCUCCACCGGUCUGGGCAGGGUCUGAGGACUCCGGAGAGCAAGGCAUGGUUCCGCCUCGUGCCGCAGGUAUCCUGGGGUCCUGUGGGGAGGGCUCUGCGGUGUGGGGCCGGGUAUGAUGACCCACAUUUACAGACUAGAGUUUCUGAUGUCCACGUGACGCCACUCCUUGUAACUGACCCAGGCCGGGGUGGGGGCUGCAGGCCGGGGUCUCUCGGACCUGUGCUCACUCAAUGAUCUCUUCCAGGUUCCUGGCCCACGCCAGCCGUACCCAGUAGCACAAUGGUAAGCGCAUGCUGGCGAGAGGUAGGCGGUGUGAGGAGGGGCUGGUUUCGGGGAGAGGACAGUAAUGAUGAUUUCUGGUGAUUCUGAGUGUCUCGCUGACGCCAUCACCGCAGCGCGCUGACCGUCCCCGGGUCCAAAAUCGGCAGUGGCGUGGGUUUUGAGUGGCCUAGAGUUAGUAAUUUACCUCUGUGUCUUGCUUUCUGGUAGGGAUUUGAGGACACACGCCAGCUGCCUACACCUGAAGAAAGGGUGAGCUCUGAGGACUUCACAGGGGCCCCAUCCCCUCACCUAGAUGAGGGCUAACCUUGGAAUCCAGACAAAGGUGGAAGUGACCUAGAUGUGACCUGAAUGAGCUAAUCAUCUAAUGAGAGCCAGCCCUUUGUCCUGCCCGCAUGAAGGGCUUUGCUGCUACGCACUGACGAGUUGGACGGCUUUUUAUUGCUUUCUUGCCAGUUAUCUGAACAUGAGAGGCUGUAAGGUGUAAUCUGCGAGCCCUGCGCCCAGACUGAGCCAGGGCCUCCCUUGAACAUGAGUAUUAGACAAUGAAAUAAGAACUUAUCUUGCCCAGACUAUAUAAUGGCUUGGAAAUGCAUAGUUUCCUGAACGAUCUCAAUAAAAUACUUCUAAAAGU